UCUGUGGUGAGGCUGGUGCAUAAGGAUUUAGUUUCCAGCCUUGACCGAGCAAUGCGUUCCGUUCUUCCUCAAAGCAAUUUCCCGCUGCUCAUGUUCACCCAGCAAGCCAACAUGAGGAAUCUUGCGAAGGACUAACGGCUCGUCCCGUGGGGUGGGGAUAUAGACACCGCAGAAUCCUGGAAAUCUGCCUCGUGCGCCUAUUGCUGGAGAAGCACGUUUCAUUCUUUUUUUUUUCUUUGAAGUAUACAUAUUCACAUGAGUGUAUAUACACACACAUACACCCACACCACCAACACCACACACACGUUCAAGCAGACAUGACGGAGAAUCAUUAGAACAUACGACAAAAUGUUUAGACGUUUGCUGGUUCGCCUUUGAUAUUUACCGCUUGUAGAAUGUAGCGGUUGGCACAGGUAGGUGAAACAAAACUUCGGUAUUGUACGUGUGCUGCUUGUUACGACGUAUGACGGUGAAAAAGUUGCUUUGCUCUCGUAGCAUCCGUCGUGUUUCGCUGUUUAAUAAGAUCUUAUCCCGGCCCCUGACUCUGUCUGGAAUACUUCGCAUCGUCUUCGUUGUCUAAUGUUAAGUAAAAAUUCCUCAUCGUUCAAUAAACAAUUAAUUCAACUGUACUGGACAUAAAUGUGUUUCCUCUUUAAAAGACAAAAAUAAUAACCAGAAGAAAAAAAAACAAAACAGACAAAACGGAACCAAACAAAAAAAGACAAAGGCAAAAUUCUGCUCGACUGUGUGGCAGAAAGGCAAACUGAACAGUGUUAUAUAAUUAUAGUAUAGAUUAAUGCCUAGGAUAUCUCUUUACGAGCUCCAGAUAGCAAGGUUAUAAUACACACACACGCAAACACGCACCCACACACAAAUAUAUCCUUUGUUAUUUUUUUAGUUCACUGAUAGUACCGCAAAUGAUUUCAAUGGCUCUUAUUAAGUGACUUUCUGAAGAUUUAGAUCACAACCGAUGUAGACUAGUAGGAUGACAAAAUGAUGGGUAGCUAAGAAGCUGGAUUAAAUUGGCGGAGAGAUAAGUAGGUAGGUAAAUUGGUAGGUAUAUAGAUAAAUAUAGAAAGACAGUCUGGGAGGUAGAUAUCAAAGAGUUAUUUAAGGAAAUAGGUGGAUAUGCAAGCCAGAAAGGUCGGUAUGUUAUGAUGUAGUUUGCAUUCUGACUUAUGCAGAUUAAUAUAAAUGUUACACUUCUACACACACAUUCACACACGCAAGCACAAAUACAUACAUACAUACAUACAUAUAUUUCGAUGCAAAUGGUUUUUUAUACAGUGCCGUGUUUACAAUCCUGCAAAUAAUAACGAUGGUAUUUUUAUAUCAGCCUAAAUAUUAUGGCGAUCACCGUGCAAUGACGAAAGAAA